rnacentral:rRNA from 1 species
GACGAACGCUGGCGGCGUGCUUAACACAUGCAAGUCGAACGGAAAGGCCCCUUCGGGGGUACUCGAGUGGCGAACGGGUGAGUAACACGUGAGUAACCUGCCCUGACUUCGGGAUAACUUCAGGAAACUGGGGCUAAUACCGGAUAGGAAUCCUUGCUGCAUGGUGGGGGUUGGAAAGCUUCGGCGGUUUUGGAUGGACUCGCGGCGUAUCAGCUUGUUGGUGGGGUAGUGGCUUACCAAGGCUUUGACGGGUAGCCGGCCUGAGAGGGCGACCGGCCACAUUGGGACUGAGAUACGGCCCAGACACCUACGGGAGGCAGCAGUGGGGAAUAUUGCACAAUGGGCGGAAGCCUGAUGCAGCAACGCCGCGUGCGGGAUGACGGCCUUCGGGUUGUAAACCGCUUUCAGCAGGGGCGAAGCUUGUGGUGACGGUACCUGCAGAAGAAGCACCGGCUAACUACGUG